CCCUUAGAGUUUGAUCCUGGCUCAGGACGAACGCUGGCGGCGCGCCUAACACAUGCAAGUCGAACGAGAGAUGAGGAGCUUGCUCUUCAGAUCGAGUGGCGAACGGGUGAGUAACGCGCGAGGAACCUGCCUCAAAGAGGGGGACAACAGUUGGAAACGACUGCUAAUACCGCAUAAGCCCACGGCUCGGCAUCGAGCAGAGGGAAAAGGAGUGAUCCGCUUUGAGAUGGCCUCGCGUCCGAUUAGCUAGUUGGUGAGGUAAUGGCCCACCAAGGCAACGAUCGGUAGCCGGACUGAGAGGUUGAACGGCCACAUUGGGACUGAGACACGGCCCAGACUCCUACGGGAGGCAGCAGUGGGGAAUAUUGCACAAUGGGGGAAACCCUGAUGCAGCGACGCCGCGUGGAGGAAGAAGGUCUUCGGAUUGUAAAC
rnacentral:rRNA from 1 species